GGGUGUGGGGGGUGCAAAGGCACUUCUUUAAUUGUCCGGGCCCCUAAUGACAUGCAGAGAUGGCUCAAAGGCAGCGGACAUCAAAGCGCAAGGGGAUGGCACGUCGGGCAGGACAGGACAGCCGCUCUGCCCCGCUUGCCAAAAGGACAUCUCCUGCCCCAAACCGCCCCGAUGGUUUCUGCUGCCGAGCGGUGCGGCCAGGCGGCCCCGGCAGGAUUGUAUGCAAAAGCGGUCGGUGGGGAUCCUAAAAAAAACCGGACAGCUCAGGGUGAGAUGAGUCUAAUUAUUGCUGGUUCUAAAAAGAGCUGGAACACCCAAGUAGGGCUUAACUCGUCUCCUGGGAAACUGAUGGAGACCUAUUUUACAAGCUGUAAUUCUGCUUUAGACUAUUGCAGGCUAAAGGCAGUUGACACUAUCCUCUUUCUUCUAGAAAUAGUCCUAAUCCUGUAUUUCGGCCGGGGAAAGUCCGCUUCUGCUCCACACUAGAUUAAUCCAGAAACCACAUAAAACCAGCAGGCGACAAGAAAGCCCUCGACGUGCCAUUUACCUUAUGGAUUUCUGCAGCCGGAGCCUUGCUGCUGCCAGCAAUCUGCCUGCACGGUCAGUGCAAGAACAGCUGGGACAGGACUGAGUUCUGUUUUUCACUCUUGCAAGCAACACAAAGAUUGAAGCUCUCCUUUGCCUGGCUGGAAAGCAGACAGCUACUCCAGUGCCCAGCAGUGAUUCCCCUUCCCACCCCAAUGCCCAGCAGGGGUUUCCUUUCCCACCCCAUCACCGACAGCACCAACACUGAAGGAGGCUGAGGACCCUGAGAUGCUUUGCAAGCCUCCUGCACGGCAGGGAAGCAGCCUGUGGUGUGUGAGCACUUGCACUCACCUUCACCGCCCUUUCUUGAUUUUAAUAACAGCACAGGGGAUCGGUGUCAAGGACAGAUGGGGCCAACCUCUGAGCCGUGCUGAGCGCUGCUGCCGUGUGUGCGUCCCCUAUGAAACCCCAGAUCCCCAUCUCUGAUUGCCUCUUUGUGUCUGUACUUGUGUGCAAUACCUGCGUUACGCUUCAGUAGACUCGGCAACGGGCAGAAGUGCUAUCUCUGCCUCGAGGAUAUUUGAGAAGAUGCUUCCCCGGGAUGGAUCCUUUUAGGAAAAAAAAAUAAAUUGUUAAAACGCUUCGGGAAAGCUGAAGAAUGAAUGAAUUUGUGGAGCUUUCUGAGGGAUGCACAUCGGUGCCAUCCUAAAGAUGUAGCACUCAUCCCACCCUGCAGGACCCUGGCAAUUGCUAUCCAGCACUGAGCCAUGCUACAGUGUUCUGGUUCUCCAACGCAUCCCUCACUUUGCUGCUGCUCUGCACUGCUGCAAAAUUACAGGCUGCAGACGGGGGUCUGAAAGCAGCAGCUCAGCUUCAGGGAGGCAGUGGGACGGGGCAGAAGGUGAGGCUGAUAUUGCAAGAGGUUGCCAGGACUUUCUGUUCCCUCCGGGUCCAAUCCGAGGCGUCGUUAGCAAACUAAUAAACUGGCUGCAGAUGUUGAGCCAACAGCAGGGCACGUUCCUCAGGAGCAUCCCUGAAAACUCUUGGGUUUGGGAAGUGAUCAGCUCAUCCCCGUGUUUCUCUUUGUGCCCUUUGCCACUCUCUGCGCCACUCCUUCCCUCCUGCCUGGAAUUUUAGGGGAAAAGAAAAAAAAGUAGAAACAGGAAACAAAGCAGGAGAGCUUCCUCAAAUCAUUUUUUUCACGUUUAUUUAUUUUCUUGACAUUGCAGUGGAUGGAGCUCUGUGACCCUACUGUUUCUCUUAGAAAAUAGAAGUAUUUGUGCCAGCUGCAGCUCUGCCAGCACAGGGGACACAACACCAAUGCCAUACCCAUACCCCACUGACCCCAUCAGGUCCCACAAGGCUGAAUGGUGUGGGUAUGGCCACGGCGAUGCUGUAGGAGGCAGGUGCUGCCUUGCAUGGGGCCGGAUCCAGGUCCUUGGGGGCAGGAAUACAGCAGAGCUGGAGUUUCAUCAGGAAUAGGAGUCUGCCAUGCCCGAGUGGGGCUGUGCCUGCUAAAGUGCCUCUUAACCUUUCCUAUAUCCAGCUAGGGAGGGAAAAAACACACAAGGGGAUCCUGGCUGUUCCCUUAGCCCCGAAGGGAGAAAAGAGAAGGAUCCCCGAGCCUGGUGCUCUACCCCCAAAGCCCAUCUCCAGGCAGAGGGAGAGGGUGCUCUCUUCUUUCUGCCUCUAGCUCUGCUUUUUGUGCUGCCCCAGGUACCGGCCCCAGCGCAUCCCCUGCCGCAGCAGCGCUCCUCCUGCACGGAGCAGCACAUUUCCCCCGAGUUACUUAUUAACCACCGUUCGUUUGACAGGAUCGAUAUUUCAAGCUAGGGAGUAAACACUUAAGAAGUAAUGCUCCUCUCUGCUCUCUUUUUCCUCGGCAAAAUGAUUUAUUUUAUAAAAUGCAUCUGCCUGGCAGGGAGGCUGGAGCCCCGCGGCGUUCAUCCGCGGGAUAUGCAAAGCGCAUUUAUUUCCUCUUUUAUCUCUCAUAUUGCGCGUUGAUCCCAUACAUAUAGAUUGAUUUUGUUCAGGUAGAUAAUGAAAAGUCAAGUGGAAAAUUUACACAAAGGCACUCAGGAUCUCCACUUUCUAUUGGUAUAUAAAUUGGUUUAUUACUUCAUUCCCUUAAACAGCGACUUUCACGCUGGGGAACACUUUAAAAUAUAUCAUGUUUAAACACAGGGCCGUUUACCUUCCGUGUGGUUUCUCUUUUUCCAUCGGUAAUUUCCUCGCCACUUUUGCUAAUUACCGAAGAUAUUUGUGUUUAAACAAGGGCCCCACCAGCAGCAAUCCGUCUCCCUCCUCCUCCUGCUCCCAGCAUCAAGCCGCCCCAACCAGAGCUCCCGGCUCUGGGCACAGGGAUGGUGACAAAGCCUGGCAGCGGGCUCUAAUUCCCCAUAAGCGGCUUUGGCUUUGCCACCCCAAGGCAGUGAAUGGAGGGCACUGGACAGGAGAGAGCAGCUCGGAACAAAACAGGCAGGAAACGUUAUUAAUAAACAUCUUCUGGACAUUUGGUGGCUCAUCUAGGCUGCUCCAGCUUAAAGCAAUUAAUUCAGGAUACUGACAUAAACUCUCCAGCUCUUUGACAGCUUGGAGCUGAAAUAAAAAUGCUAGUUCUCCAGGGAAAAGGAGAGGAUAGUUGGCUCUUUUCUGGACUGUUUGCUUAUAGGCCCAGAGAGCAAUCUUCCUUGCAGAAUGAAAUGCAAGGACACAAACAAUGUACCGGAGAGAGAAUAGAAGAUGGGAAUGAACAGUUUGAACUAUUUGCUCAGCAGAAGGGCAGCCACAAUGCUCAACCAAUGGCUUUCCCAUGCAUCAACCGGGCUUCUUAGGCCCUUUUGUUGUUCAUCCUCUUCCUCUGACCAGAUAAGAGCACAGCUGCACGGCCGUCGACUUAGCCACGCAAAUCUGGUGCCGCGCGGAGCCGCGUCCCCGCGGAGCUCGAGGACAAGGUGACACCGGGCAGUGGCACAUCCAGCAGCCCCCGCAUUCAGUGCCACCUCCCCGCAACCGGGCUGCAGUCCCCUGCCCUUCCUUUGCUCCCUUCCUGCCUCCUUUGCCCGUUGCCCAGGCACUGCUAUGCUGCUCCGACCCAAACGCCAGCUCCAACCGUGAUGCUACGCCGCUUUGUGCCGCCCCGGGCUGGGAUUCAGUGAGCAAGGCUGGAACAAGGUUUGUUUAGCUUGAAAGGGUUUGACAAGGUGAAAAGGCAAAGCACCGAGGACUAAAGAAAACGCCUGCCUGGCUGAAAUCACACGGAGCACUCGUCGUCAAAGAGCACACCUGCAGGAAGCACCGAGUUUAAACACUGCUGUCACAAAAACCUGAGAAACCUCCGGGUAUUUUAUUGUGUUUUUUGUUGUUUUUUUUUUGUCUCUUUUCCCCCUUCUCCCCUACUGGGUGGUCAGGAGAGCAGGAGGGCUCCCAUUGUCUGCAGAGCUGACCCCACGUGUCCCUGCCGUGCCAGCACCUGGCCGACACCAAAACGCCCCAAUCCAGCCUCAGUCUGCAGCCCAGCGCCCUGCAUCGGGCUGCUUAAUGAGACCCUAACGAGGUGCUCAGCCUUAAUUUCCAAAACGCUGCAACACAGACAAAGGGAAAGUGCAGUCAGCUCCGAGUAAUUUGUGCCUCGCUCCCGGCGAAUGAAUUUAGGGGAGCAAAUAUCGUUAUGCGGGAUUUAAAUUAAAGUUGACACUAAUGUAAA